rnacentral:lncRNA from 1 species
CGGCCUUGUUCAUCUUUGGACCUGGUGGCCAGCACAGAGAAUGUGCUCAAUGAAUGUUUGCUGGAUUGAAUGACACACCCUCAGGUCCAAGUGGGCCAUGCCCCUCUGCCUGCAGCCUGGUGGCCGUCAGGGUCAGGGCUCCCAUGCUUUCUGAUACCCGGGAGGAUGGGUCUCUGACCAUGGGAUUUUGAAAUAGCAAUGAGCCUGAAUAACAUUUUGAGAUACUGGCAACAACGAAAGUGUGGAAUGAAACUUCCCGUUAUUUCUGCUGGCUAACACUAAGUGGUUGCCACCUAUGUUCAUAAUACAAGGAACUGCUCAGUUUCAACCAGAGACAGGCUCUUGCUCCGUCGCCCAGGCUGAAGUGCAGUGGAGCGAUCACGAUCACGGUUCGCUGCAGCUUCAAACUCCUGAGCUCAAACGAUCCUCCCCGCUCAGCCUCCCAAGUAGCUGGGACUACUGGCACAUGCCACCACCCCUGGCUGAAAAUCACUCAUUUUUAAUGAGAAAAUGAAGCGGGAAAGGAAGCUACUCACAACAGCAACAAGAUCCGUACUAUAACCAAGAAUGAAACCAGAAUAUAGAGUUUUUGUGAUUAGAACGGGCAAAUAAAAGAACAAAGCUGAGUGGAGAGUCCAGAAUUCUCAGCCACUCCACUCCUAAGAAUCUGCCGUUUUUAAAAAGUGGACAUGUGCACAAAGGUAUACGUACAAAGAGGCUCAGAAAUAACAUUUGCAAGGGCAAAAACAUUGAGGCCAAUGCGAGUUUUUAUCAACAGGAGAAUGGUUAAAUGAAUAAUGUUAUAUCACAUUUGCAGUGUUUUAUUUAGAAAGGAAGCAUUGCUGUGAGUUCUGACAUGGAAUGAUCUCGGUGGUAUAUUGAAAAGCAAGUUCUAAUAUAAUUCCUCAAGCAUAAAAAAAACUAUAUGUUGAUAUAUUUAUGGAUAGAGGUAAUUGCAUAGAAAAAUGCCUGGAAAGAUACAUGUCAAACCAUUAUUGUGGUUAGUUCUGGGGGCCAUUUCCUUUAGAAAUUUUCUAUGAGAAUGGCCGGGUGCGGUGGCUCAUGCCUGUAAUCCUAGCACUUUGGGAGGCCGAGGCGGGUGGAUCACAAGGUCAGGAGAUCGAGCCCAUCCUGGCUAAUACGGUGAAACCCCAUCUCUACUAAAAAUACAACAAAUUAGCCGGGCGUGGUGGCGGGCGCCUGUGGUCCCAGCUACUCGGGAGGCUGAAGCAGGAGAAUGGCGUGAACCUGGGAGGCGGAGCUUGCAGUGAGCUGAGAUUGCGCCACUGCACUCC